rnacentral:rRNA from 1 species
GACGAACGCUGGCGGCGUGCUUAACACAUGCAAGUCGAACGGUAAGGCCCUUCGGGGUACACGAGUGGCGAACGGGUGAGUAACACGUGGGUGAUCUGCCCUGCACUUCGGGAUAAGCCUGGAAACUGGGUCUAAUACCGGAUAGGACCACUGCCUGCAUGGGUGGUGGUGGAAAGCUUUUGCGGUGUGGGAUGGGCCCGCGGCCUAUCAGCUUGUUGGUGGGGUGAUGGCCUACCAAGGCGACGACGGGUAGCCGGCCUGAGAGGGUGACCGACCACACUGGGACUGAGAUACGGCCCAGACUCCUACGGGAGGCAGCAGUGGGGAAUAUUGCACAAUGGGCGCAAGCCUGAUGCGGCGACGCCGCGUGAGGGAUGACGGCCUUCGGGUUGUAAACCUCUUUCAGCACCGACGAAGCGCAAGUGACGGUAGGUGCAGAAGAAGGACCGGCCAACUACGUGCCAGCCGCCGCCGUAA